rnacentral:lncRNA from 1 species
GCUCAUUCACAUCUGUACGGUGCUUCAGUUAUAUAAGGCUCCCAGUGCCUACAGAAAGCUAUUUUGGGUGAAGAUACAGUGUCCUGACACCUCUCUUUCUGAAAACUCCACACAGCUACUGAAAUGAACAUUUCCAUCUCCAUGGGCUCACAGACCACUGAGUAACAGAAAACACUGUUGUAUUUCUGCCGACCAGCAUUUGGAAGCAGCCAGUCCUUCAAUCCCAGCCUACUCCAGUCCUCCUUGAGGAAAGAGUCACGGAUCACUCACUCGUCCCUGCCGUCCUCUGACUACCGUAAGGUCUCGCCCAGGGAGAAAAACCUCAACUGGAAUCACAGUGUUGCCAUUUCUGUUGGAUCCGAGGUGGUUUUGCAUCGAUUGGCAGUCCAGCAGUUUGUGCCCGGUGCCCAGAUCUGG